rnacentral:rRNA from 1 species
GGGUGCGAUCAUACCAGCGUUAAUGCAUCAGAUCCCAUCAGAACCUCGCAGUCAAGCGCGCUUGGGCUAGAGUAGUACUGGGAUGGGUGACCUCCCGAGAAGUCCUAGUGUUGCACCCU